GACGAACGCUGGCGGCGUGCUUAACACAUGCAAGUCGAACGGAAAGGCCCUGCUUUUGUGGGGUGCUCGAGUGGCGAACGGGUGAGUAACACGUGAGUAACCUGCCCUUGACUUUGGGAUAACUUCAGGAAACUGGGGCUAAUACCGGAUAGGAGCUCCUGCUGCAUGGUGGGGGUUGGAAAGUUUCGGCGGUUGGGGAUGGACUCGCGGCUUAUCAGCUUGUUGGUGGGGUAGUGGCUUACCAAGGCUUUGACGGGUAGCCGGCCUGAGAGGGGGACCGGCCAAAUUGGGACUGAGAUACGGCCCAGACUCCUACGGGAGGCAGCAGUGGGGAAUAUUGCACAAUGGGCGGAAGCCUGAUGCAGCAAAGCCGCGUGCGGGAUGACGGCCUUCGGGUUGUAAACCGCUUUCGCCUGUGACGAAGCGUGAGUGACGGUAAUGGGUAAAGAAGCACCGGCUAACUACGUG
rnacentral:rRNA from 1 species